rnacentral:rRNA from 1 species
GAGACCGGCGCACGGGUGCGUAACGCGUAUGCAAUCUGCCUUGUACAGGGGGAUAGCCCAGAGAAAUUUGGAUUAAUACCCCAUAGUAUAUUUGAGUGGCAUCACUUGAUUAUUAAAGUUCCAACGGUACAAGAUGAGCAUGCGUCCCAUUAGCUAGUUGGUAUGGUAACGGCAUACCAAGGCUAUGAUGGGUAGGGGUCCUGAGAGGGAGAUCCCCCACACUGGUACUGAGACACGGACCAGACUCCUACGGGAGGCAGCAGUGAGGAAUAUUGGUCAAUGGGCGAGAGCCUGAACCAGCCAUGCCGCGUGCAGGAUGAAGCAUCUAUGGUGUGUAAACUGCUUUUGUACGGGAAGAAACACCGCUACGUGUAGCGGCUUGACGGUACCGUAAGAAUAAGGAUCGGCUAACUCCGUGCCAGCAGCCGCGGUAAUACGGAGGAUCCAAGCGUUAUCCGGAAUCAUUGGGUUUAAAGGGUCCGUAAGCGGUUUUAUAAGUCAGUGGUGAAAUCCGGCAGCUCAACUGUCGAACUGCCAUUGAUACUGUAGAACUUGAAUUAUUGUGAAGUAACUAGAAUAUGUAGUGUAGCGGUGAAAUGCUUAGAUAUUACAUGGAAUACCAAUUGCGAAGGCAGGUUACUAACAAUGGAUUGACGCUGAUGGACGAAAGCGUGGGGAGCGAACAGGAUUAGAUACCCUGGUAGUC